rnacentral:rRNA from 2 species
AGUAACACGUGGGUAACCUGCCUGUAAGACUGGGAUAACUCCGGGAAACCGGAGCUAAUACCGGAUAGUUCCUUGAACCGCAUGGUUCAAGGAUGAAAGACGGUUUCGGCUGUCACUUACAGAUGGACCCGCGGCGCAUUAGCUAGUUGGUGAGGUAACGGCUCACCAAGGCGACGAUGCGUAGCCGACCUGAGAGGGUGAUCGGCCACACUGGGACUGAGACACGGCCCAGACUCCGGGGGAGGGCAGCCGGUAGGGUAUUCUUCCCGCAAAUGGAAGGAAAGUUUGGAAGGAAACAAACGCCCGCUUGGAAGGGAGGAAGGUUUUUCGGAUUCGUAAAAGCUUUUGUUUGUUAGGGAAAGAACCAGGUGCCAGGAGUAACUGGCUUGCACCUUGGACGGUAACCUAACCCAGAAAGGCCACGGCCAAAUUACGUGCCCAGCAGCCGCCGGUAAUACGUAGGUGGCCAGCGUUGUCCGGGAAUUAUUGGGCGUAAAGGGGCUCGCCGGGCGGUUUCUUAAGUCUGAUGUGAAAGCCCCCCGGCUCAACCGGGGAGGGUCAUUGGAAACUGGGAAACUUGAGUGCAGAAGAGGAGAGUGGAAUUUCCACGUGUAGCGGUGAAAUGCGUAGAGAUGUGGAGGAACACCAGUGGCGAAGGCGACUCUCUGGUCUGUAACUGACGCUGAGGAGCGAAAGCGUGGGGAGCGAACAGGAUUAGAUACCCUGGUAGUCCACGCCGUAAACGAUGAGUGCUAAGUGUUAGGGGGUUUCCGCCCCUUAGUGCUGCAGCUAACGCAUUAAGCACUCCGCCUGGGGAGUACGGUCGCAAGACUGAAACUCAAAGGAAUUGACGGGGGCCCGCACAAGCGGUGGAGCAUGUGGUUUAAUUCGAAGCAACGCGAAGAACCUUACCAGGUCUUGACAUCCUCUGACAACCCUAGAGAUAGGGCUUUCCCUUCGGGGACAGAGUGACAGGUGGUGCAUGGUUGUCGUCAGCUCGUGUCGUGAGAUGUUGGGUUAAGUCCCGCAACGAGCGCAACCCUUGAUCUUAGUUGCCAGCAUUCAGUUGGGCACUCUAAGGUGACUGCCGGUGACAAACCGGAGGAAGGUGGGGAUGACGUCAAAUCAUCAUGCCCCUUAUGACCUGGGCUACACACGUGCUACAAUGGACAGAACAAAGGGCUGCGAGACCGCAAGGUUUAGCCAAUCCCACAAAUCUGUUCUCAGUUCGGAUCGCAGUCUGCAACUCGACUGCGUGAAGCUGGAAUCGCUAGUAAUCGCGGAUCAGCAUGCCGCGG